rnacentral:ncRNA from 2 species
CCGUUGGUGAACCUGCGGAAGGAUCAUUA